CAACGAUUACGAAAAUCCAUUAAGAAAAUGCUAACGAAAAACGAAAAUCAAAGAUGAAAAAAAAGGUUCAGAUUUGAGAUUGAAGAUUCUAGGGUUUGAAGAGAGAGAGAAAGGGAAAGAGAGAGUGAAAAAUGAGAAGAAAAUAAGAACACUGUUGAAUAUAAUAGAGAAAUAUAUAUAUAUAUAUAGCAGCAGUGUGUAGGUACAACUGGUAUGCAUGAUUGCAGUUUGAUAAAUCGCUUAAACAGUGGUAUGUUUCCUUAUUAUUGUGUAGAGAAAUAAUCUGAUUAGUAUUUUGCUGCAUUGAGAUUUGUUACCGCUACAAGGCUUAAUCCCCCAAUGUUAUGCCAUGAUUGUUU
rnacentral:lncRNA from 1 species